rnacentral:rRNA from 1 species
CGACCGCUGGCGGCGUGCUUACCACAUGCAAGUCGAACGGAAAGGCCCUGCUUUUGUGGGGUGCUCGAGUGGCGAACGGGUGAGUAACACGUGAGUAACCUGCCCUUGACUUUGGGAUAACUUCAGGAAACUGGGGCUAAUACCGGAUAGGAGCUCCUGCUGCAUGGUGGGGGUUGGAAAGUUUCGGCGGUUGGGGAUGGACUCGCGGCUUAUCAGCUUGUUGGUGGGGUAGUGGCUUACCAAGGCUUUGACGGGUAGCCGGCCUGAGAGGGUGACCGGCCACAUUGGGACUGAGAUACGGCCCAGACUCCUACGGGAGGCAGCAGUGGGGAAUAUUGCACAAUGGGCGGAAGCCUGAUGCAGCAACGCCGCGUGCGGGAUGACGGCCUUCGGGUUGUAAACCGCUUUCGCCUGUGACGAAGCAUGAGUGACGGUAAUGGGUAAAGAAGCACCGGCUAACUACGUG